rnacentral:rRNA from 1 species
GACAGAGGGUGCAAACGUUGUUCGGAAUUACUGGGCGUAAAGCGAGUGUAGGCGGUCUGCUAAGUCGGGUGUGAAAGCCCCGGGCUCAACCCGGGAAGUGCACUCGAAACUGGCAGGCUAGAGUAUCGGAGAGGUUGGUGGAAUUCUCGGUGUAGAGGUGAAAUUCGUAGAUAUCGGGAGGAACACCAGUGGCGAAGGCGACUUCCUGGCCUGUUCUUGACGCUGAGGCGCGAAAGCUAGGGGAGCAAACGGG